rnacentral:lncRNA from 1 species
UCCUGACUUCAGGUGAUCCGCCCACCUCGGCCUCCCAAAGUGCUGGGAUUACAGGCCACUGCGCCCGGCCCAGUGUUCCUCUUUUUAACUGACAAAGCACCUACUGAAAGAACAGAUAGUUCAUAAUUUCUCUUGGCACUAGUAAAUGGGAUUCUUAGAUAUGGCUGAUACUAACAAUCCACACAGUCAAGUCUGGUAAAUACGAAAACUUCACCCUUCUAAGCUUAAAGUGGUAACUUGGUUCAGUGUGAUUCUAGGGUUUAGAAAUCUGCUUACAAAUGAAUUUAUCUGCUGGGUAUAUAUGUAUUCUUUUUUUUUUUUUUUUUUUGAGACGGAGUCUUGCUCUGUUGCCCAGGCUGGAGUGCAGUGGCGCCAUCUCGGCUCGCUGCAAGCUCCGCUUCCUGGAUUCACGGCAUUCUCCUGCCUCAGCCUCCCGAGUAGCUGGGACUACAGGUGCCCGCCACCGCGCCCGACUAAUUUUUUUGUAUUUUUAGUAGAGAUGGGGUUUCACCGUGGUCUCGAUCUCCUGACCUCGUGAUCCGCCCACCUCGGCCUCCCAAAGUGCUGGGAUUACAGGCGUGAGCCACUAUGCCCGGCCUAUAUGUAUUCUUUACUAAAGCUCUGAACUUGUUAUUUACUGCAAUAAAGACAGUUGCAUCUCUGGCAGUAAAAUACAGUUGCUCUACCCAAACAGAAAACUACUCAAAGUCCAUUGUCUAGUUCACUUGAGAAGCAACAAGUAAUACUAUAACCUAACUCAUUUGAGGGCCUCCUAUGUUUUUAGUGACAUUAGACAGAUGAGCUGCUCUCACAGUCUGGGGUACAGUGGGAAAGCAAGAGCUUUCAUCAUGAAGCGUUUAUAAGAAAGGAAAGGAAACAUGUCAGAUCAUUACAUUUGGGUAUAAUGAACUAGGGGUAUAUGUCUCACAAGACCCAGUACGUGGUACUUAAUAGAACCUCAGUGAAUUUUGGCUUAAUUGGAAGGAAUCAUUUGGCGAGAACAGAUAAGCUUUGGCUAAUAUCACCUAAAAUCACUACUGGAUAGGAAACAGGUGAACGUGAAUGGAGACUGUAAUAUAGCACUAAAAAAUAAAAAUAAAUAAUCACAAGAAUAGGCUUUGAGCUUAGAUUGAAGGGCUGGCAAAUUCCUCUGCUGAAGAGCUCUAAUGGGAACCUGAGACAUGCUUUGGUCUGGUUCCUAUCUCUGAGAGAUGCCUGUUCAACACUGAUUCUCAAAUGCUAUCUUUUACAGAGGAGAAGGUGGAGUGGGUAAACAUGAGGAUUGAGCAAUUAACACUUAAGAAUUGUAAAUUCUACCCCUUAAUCUCCAGAAAAGUAUGGGAACCAGCAGGCCAAAGAAUGCUAUAAAUCAGAAUCUGGCAUGAGUCAUCUGAAAGGCAGUUAGUUAUCUUGGAGAGAGCUGCAAAUUAAUGCUUCAAGGUCUGCUGUGAGAUGAAUUCCAGGGGAACCACACCCUUUUCCUUCUCUUCUGACACAGCUCAGAUCUGGCUCAUCCCCCAUCCCUCAUAUGGGUUUCAGAUGGCAGUGGGCUUACAGAGAGUCUGCCUUGCCUGGACUGGUACUCCAAGUCCAGCAAUUUAAGAGAACUGAACUGGGCGAGUCACCUCUGGGAGAAGGACGUGGGAUCCCACCCCAGUUCUUAAAUAACUCAGGAAAGGAGUCAGACACCACAGAGGUUUAAAAAUACCUGUGCUCAAGUUCAGAGCAGCAGAGCACUUCAGGAUCAAUUCCCAAAGAUCCCAGAAAUUGGAACUGGGUGGGGUACCUAGUUUACUUUUUUCAGAUGACAGGACAGAAGGAAAGUGCAGAAUUAAGAAAGGGAAUGCAGCAGGGUAAGGACCUCUAAAUUUUAAAAAGGCUAAUUUUAGGAGGUUCUAAGAAAUACAAGUUGUCAGCUGAGGAAAUCCUGGCCACCCUUGAGUAUCUUCUUCAGGAGAGCAAGGUGAGUCUACCUCACACUGUGUGAGUGCUUAGGUCUGAAGUCACUCAGUCGCAUGCCUCUCUUGCCCACAGCCAUUACGAAGUGACGGAGCUUCCUUCUCUGAAGUUACAUCCUUCUCCCACUUGGUCUUCCCCUCCCCUCCUCCCCCAGCGGUUUUAUUCAGUGGAUGGAUUGUGAAUAUUGCAGCCAGCUGACUCCCUGUGUGUCCAGUAGGCCUUCUGCAAUAAGGAUGCAGAGGAGGGAGUAGCCAGGAGGUGAAAAUAGCAUUGAAAAUCAGUGGAGAAGCCCUUGUCUCCUCAGCAACCAGUACCCCAAAGGGCACUGACCAGGGCCACAGCAAGGAACUCUGUUUUGGGGAAGGAGUUGCACACUGGCUUUAAAAUAAGACAAAGGAAAGGGGGAAAUGUUGUGAUUAAAACUCUGUUCUCUUGGCUAGAGGAUGAAUCAUGUAACUCUUGUCUGAGUGCAGCCAAUGGUUGCCCAACUGAGUCAGCCCUGCCUGGCCCUCCGUUCUUGGGUGGGGCUUGCCUGGGCAGGGCUGUCUGCAGCACUGCUAGCUGCCAAAACUGAAGUUCUUCAGGGACUUCAAUCUGGCAUUUCCACCCUCACGUAGCCACUCUGCAAGCUCUAUUCCUGGACAGAUGUGGGCUUCCUGCAUCCUGGUUAGACACAUUUUGACAGGAGGGCCUUGGGGCUGGGGCUGAGGGGCUGCAGUGUCCUCUCUAUCCCCAAUAACGUACUCUUGCACCUGAAACAUUCAAUUUCAUUUAAUUGUUUACUUGUCUGCCUGAGAUUUAAGCUUCUCUUGAUUAAGAACUACAAAUUAUUCUGCUUUUAUUCAUGGAGCACUAUAUAACUGUUAUGUGCAUAAAUGAACCACACAAUCCCUUGGGCAGUAGCUGAGGUGCAGGUGUGAUUACCCAGGACUAGGCUGAAAGCCUUGUAGCUCAGAGCUCAGGAGGACGAUGUGAGAGCUGGGAAGGGCCAGGAAAGGGGCCCCAAAAGUGUUCAACUAUGAACGGAACAGUAGAUAGAGUACACAGGAGUGCACAUUCCAUACGCAAAAGGAAAAAUAUGUGUCCUGCUAAACAGGUCUAGUCAGAAUGACAUGACUGUGCUCCUUCUCUUCUAACACUUGCUAUUUUCUCGUGUUUCAUUCAUCCCAUCUUCUACUUUUUGCUUUUCUAGUGCUGCUAUCUCACUGCUGAGCUCCACAGGAUAAUAACAGCCUUGCUGUCCACUCACCUUUUAUUGAAGUAUUCUAAUCUGAUGCCUAUACAUGCCCUCUACAUGUUUGUCUGAGCAACAGGUCUUAAGAAGGGAGGCGGAGACAUCUUUCUCUGCAUAGUUUUCUCUAUGGAAAACAAUUCUGGACUCCACAAAUUUAGUUACCUUAGGAGGAAUUCAAUUUUCCAUUUUUGGUUCUCCCUCCCUGAGCACCUACUUUGAAUGUCCCAGACAUGGUGUUAGGCAUGAGGGUGUUCACACACACAUACACACAUGCACACACACACAAAGCUCUCCAUGGUGCUUGCCUUUGAGGAGUUCACCAGCUAAUGGAAUACUAUUAAAGCAUUUGGCCUGAAUUCUAGUUAUUUGUGUUUCUGUUUCUUUCCUCACUAGGUUGCAGGUUUUUUGAGCAGGGUCCCAAUAGCCAGUGCCCCAGCCCUCAUAGAGCCUGCUCGAUGAAUUGUUAAGAAAUUGAUAAUGAUGUAUUUUGGUUGUCCUGCGAGUAGCAGACAAGCAGGAGUCCUCCUCAGAAAAGUGUCUGCUCCUGAAAAAUCUCAAAUGUUUGCUUUGGACCUAUGCCCAGAUCCCGGCUGCAGUUUCAAAGAGGACACUUCUGCAGAGUGAGUCGGACUUGCUUUGCUCCUCUGUGUCUUGUCCAUACCCUAGUUUUCUUACAGCCCACCCAGAAAAUAAACGGCAGGGUGUCAGUAAAAACAAACAUCUGUUAUUUAAAAUAUGUUUGAGGUUUCCUUCCUUUUGCUUUAGAAAUUUUGGAGUUUUUAAAAUUGAACCCAGAAGGCAUUCUUAAAUUUGAUCUCUGAAGGGAAUUCAGAAAAAAUGAGUUGAAGCAAUGGAUCUGGAUCCAGGCUGUCUCUCUCACCUCUCACCAACUAAAACUUGCCCACUAAAGAACUGGGCAGCAAAGGAACGUUUCAGAUGCAAUUCAAUAGGAAGAAAGAACUUGGAAGAAACCUCCUUCAAUCUAACCAACUACAUCAAUUUUUCCUUAAAGAAUGCUUAGGCAUCAGCCUAAUCAGCCAACAUAGCUACUGUCAAAACUGCUUUUAGUUAAAUCCUUUGGUAGGAUGGGUGGUAUUUAUUUAGUAAAGGGAUAGAAAGUGCUGAAAAUUGUUUAAAAGAAGUACAUUCUUUCUUUUUGCUUUUGAUGUGGAUUCCUAAAUUUGUUGAGUCCCCAGAAAAAUGAGAAACUUAAGAUGUUAAAAUUUUAGUCCAGCUUUCUCAGCACUUUGAGUGCUAAUUUAUACAUUAUAAUCCUGAAAGAAUUCCAUUGUUUCUCUCAACUUUACGCUUUAAAAGACUGGACUGUGUCCAAGGGUAUACCAAGUGGGUUGUGCUCUACAAAAGUCACAUUUUUUGAACUGUCAGUAGAAAGCAGGGAGGCACACAGUCUCAGCUCCACCCUGACCUCACUGGAGUGGCUGCUUAGGAGGCUGGCCAGCACACGGGAGGAAAGGGGCCUAUAUGAUGUGUCGGAGAAAAGCUAGGAAGAGCAUCACCCAGAAAGCAGGGUAAGACCCAAAAAUUGCUUCAUGCCCAGUAGACCAAAAAAAUUGUAAGAACCUAGAUAAGAAACUCCAAAUGGUGGAUCAAGGGCCACAGUGAAGAAACUAUCCUCUGGCUGUGAAGGAACAAAUACACCAUUUGGAAGGGAUGAUUAAAGAGAAACUGGAUAGGAAUCUGUGGGGGCAGGGCCGAUGAAGAAACUUCCAAUAAGUUAUAUGAACUCAUUCCCACUCCAACCCCUGGCAUUAUCUUUUGCAAUUUGCUGAAACAUGUUGGAGGCAAAGAUCACCGACUGGGUGUUUCCAUGAGCCUGGCCUCACCUAAAACGCACAACAUAAAACUCCAUUCCUGGAGACUGAAACUCAAGCUUCUGGGGAAAAAUAUCCGCAACAACUGCAAACCUCUUAGCGGGAAAAGCUACCUCCCAAGUAAGGCUGAGGCAGGCUGCCAGGCGCAUACUGGCCGAUAACGAAAAGCGGUCUCGCCAAGGCCCUGCAGAUCUAAUUACUGCCCUCACCGGCAGUUCAGUCGAGAAACCUCUCCUGCAGACUGGCAGCCAGACCAGGUGUGACUCACUUCCUCUUGGAAAAUGCCCUCUGAGAUGGCACAGUUCUCCUUUUCCUUCAGGGAGUGUUCUGUCCAAACCAUCCACCGAGAGUAUCUGCAACCGGCCACACCCACAUGGUCUCACAGCUGAGUCACAGGCCUCAGACCACUGGGAGAAUCCUGGAGCCCUUUGUGCUAACCACGCCCUGCAGAAGCUCCCGCAGAGACGGAACUGGGUGGGGGCAGAAAACGGGGUGGGCUUAAUGCAUCCCAGAAUCUGGCUUAGGGCUCCCCUGUGCUGGCCUGGCUUGGAGCGCUCUGCAUUCCACCCCAGCCAACAAGGCAGAGCUCCUGGUUUCACUUAGGCAGAGCUGGACUGAGGCUGGACAGGCAGCAGUGUCCACGGCUAGGGGCAGCGCCAUUCCUUCGGCCAAAGCACAGGUGGUGAACCAAGUACCAAAGGCACGUCUGUCUGUUUCACUGCACCGGGCCAAAUUAAUCUAUGAUUGGAAGAUCCUUCAUCAAGCCUGCUCUUCCUCCAUCUCUUUCUGGUUCCACUUAUUAAGACAGCAAGGGAACCCUUUCAGUAGAGAAACCACGUCACACAGGGCCCUCUCCCACAAACCCCAGCCAAACUGCUGUAGAAAGAAAACAAGUGGACCUCCCUCCCUCAGCAGGAAGACCCUUUCCGUCGAGCAGACAACAGGAAGCCCCGACCAGAAACGCCUGUUUGGCCGACGGACUAAGGGUUACGGAAGGGACGCCCCAGCUGCCUACUCGUCCUACCCGCGCCUACUUGGGCGGUACAGCCGGGAGCAGGCUACGAACAUGCAGACCCGGCCUGCGAGCGGAACCCACCAAGAAACACGCCAGCCAGGGCAGGGGCGUGUAGGAGGGAUUCGGUAACCCGAGAGACGAGUGGGAAAGUAGGAAAGGACUCCAAGGCUCUAAGGAUGGAAGAGUCAUAAUUGGAAAGAGCCUGGGUACCUGAAUCACUGUAUGGAGGAAAAUCACUUGCUGAGCAGGAACAUCCUCAUUGGACUAGCUAUGUGGGGACACCCACAGGGCCAGAGGUUGAAGGCAUAGGCGUUGACAUCUCCAACUGUUCUGACUCCAGAGUUUUGCUCUUGUUGCCCACGCUGGAGUGCAAUGGCAC